CGGCGGACGGGUGAGUAACACGUGGGUAACCUGCCUGUAAGACUGGGAUAACUCCGGGAAACCGGGGCUAAUACCGGAUGCUUGAUUGAACCGCAUGGUUCAAUCAUAAAAGGUGGCUUUUAGCUACCACUUGCAGAUGGACCCGCGGCGCAUUAGCUAGUUGGUGAGGUAACGGCUCACCAAGGCGACGAUGCGUAGCCGACCUGAGAGGGUGAUCGGCCACACUGGGACUGAGACACGGCCCAGACUCCUACGGGAGGCAGCAGUAGGGAAUCUUCCGCAAUGGACGAAAGUCUGACGGAGCAACGCCGCGUGAGUGAUGAAGGUUUUCGGAUCGUAAAACUCUGUUGUUAGGGAAGAACAAGUACCGUUCGAAUAGGGCGGUACCUUGACGGUACCUAACCAGAAAGCCACGGCUAACUACGUGCCAGCAGCCGCGGUAAUACGUAGGUGGCAAGCGUUGUCCGGAAUUAUUGGGCGUAAAGCGCGCGCAGGCGGUUUCUUAAGUCUGAUGUGAAAGCCCCCGGCUCAACCGGGGAGGGUCAUUGGAAACUGGGGAACUU
rnacentral:rRNA from 1 species